rnacentral:rRNA from 1 species
GAUGAACGCUGGCGGCGUGCUUAACACAUGCAAGUCGAGCGAGAAGUUUUGAAAAGAUUCUUCGGAUGAAAUUUAAAAUGGAAAGCGGCGGACGGGUGAGUAACGCGUAGGCAACCUGCCCCAUACAAAGGGAUAGCAUUUGGAAACGAAUAUUAAUACCUUAUGAAACUUAACUAGUGCAUGCUAGGUAGGUCAAAGACUUAUCGGUAUGGGAUGGGCCUGCGUCUGAUUAGCUAGUUGGUGAGGUAACGGCUCACCAAGGCGACGAUCAGUAGCCGACCUGAGAGGGUGAACGGCCACAUUGGAACUGAGACACGGUCCAAACUCCUACGGGAGGCAGCAGUGGGGAAUAUUGCACAAUGGGGGAAACCCUGAUGCAGCAACGCCGCGUGAACGAUGAAGGCCUUUGGGUCGUAAAGUUCUGUUCUAGGUGAUGAAAACUGACAGUAACCUAGGAGAAAGCCCCGGCUAACUCCGUGCCAGCAGCCGCGGUAAUACGGAGGGGGCAAGCGUUAUCCGGAAUUAUUGGGCGUAAAGGGUACGUAGGUGGCCUUUUAAGCGUAGGGUAUAAGGCAAUGGCUCAACCAUUGUUCGCCCUAUGAACUGGAAGGCUUGAGUGCAGGAGAGGAAAGCGGAAUUCCUAGUGUAGCGGUGGAAUGCAUAGAUAUUAGGAGGAACAUCAGCGGCGAAGGCGGCUUUCUGGACUGCAACUGACACUGAGGUACGAAAGCGUGGGGAGCAAACAGG